rnacentral:rRNA from 1 species
UGGGGAAUAUUGGACAAUGGGCGAAAGCCUGAUCCAGCCAUGCCGCGUGUGUGAAGAAGGUCUUCGGAUUGUAAAGCACUUUAAGUUGGGAGGAAGGGCAGUAAGCGAAUACCUUGCUGUUUUGACGUUACCGACAGAGUAAGCACCGGCUAACUCUGUGCCAGCAGCCGCGGUAAUACAGAGGGUGCAAGCGUUAAUCGGAAUUACUGGGCGUAAAGCGCGCGUAGGUGGUUCGUUAAGUUGAAUGUGAAAGCCCCGGGCUCAACCUGGGAACUGCAUCCAAAACUGGCGGGCUAGAGUAGGGCAGAGGGUGGUGGAAUUUCCUGUGUAGCGGUGAAAUGCGUAGAUAUAGGAAGGGACACCAGUGGCGAAGGCGACCACCUGGGCUCAUACUGACCCUGAGGUGAGGAAGCGUGGGGAGCAAACAGG